rfam:Stegodyphus mimosarum contig167939, whole genome shotgun sequence.
GCCUUCGUGGUGUAGCGGUCAGCACGCUCGACGCGUAACCGAGAGGUCCGUGGUUCGAAUCCCGGCGAAGGCG